rnacentral:tRNA from 3 species
GGCGGGAUAGCUCAGCCCGGUGGAGCAGACGGCUCAUACCCGUUAGGUCGCUGGUUCAAAUCCAGUUCCCGCCACCA